UGUGUGUGUGUGUGUGUGUGUGUGUGUGUGUGUGUGUGUGUGUGUGUGUGUGUGAGAGAGAAUGUGUGUGUGUGUGUGUGUGUGUGUGUGUGUGUGUGUGUGUGUGUGUGUGUGUGUGUGUGUGUGUGUGUGUGUGUGUGUGUGUGUGUGUGUGUGCGAAGGGUUAAAUCUGAUAUACGCGCCGAGUCGGCGUUCAAACGGAUAUUUUUACACCUCUGGACGUUAAACGUUUCAUCUCGACACCUUUUCCUGUUUGUGACGCUGCUCGACUUCCUCGUAAUUACACGUAGGUGAAGAGGAGAGGAAAUUCCCAACAGACAUGAAACACCGCGGUUUUUCAUUAUGAAUCUGAGCCUGAAACACUCCCAGCUUCAUGUUUGAGUUUUCACCACAAACAUUUUUCACCGUUUUCUGACUUUUUACAGAUGGUGAGAGUUUGUUGAAGGCAGCAGACAGAAGGAGGCGAGCUGCAGGAAUCUGGGGAUUUCCCGUUUUCUGGGGUUUGGUUGGAACAUGUGGGAGCGUCAAGACUCCAAACUAAACAUCAACAGAAACAACAUGACGUGAAAUCUAAGCUCCUGUAUA